rnacentral:rRNA from 1 species
CGAAGUUCUUCGGAAUGAGUAGAGCGGCGGACGGGUGAGUAACGCGUAGGAAUCUGUCCGGUAGUGGGGGAUAACGUUCCGAAAGGAACGCUAAUACCGCAUACGCCCCACGGGGGAAAGGGGGGGAUCCUUCGGGACCUCUCGCUAUCGGAGGAGCCUGCGUCGGAUUAGCUAGUUGGUGGGGUAAAGGCCCACCAAGGCGACGAUCCGUAGCUGGUCUGAGAGGAUGAUCAGCCACACCGGAACUGAGACACGGUCCGGACUCCUACGGGAGGCAGCAGUGGGGAAUAUUGCACAAUGGGCGAAGGCCUGAUGCAGCAACGCCGCGUGAGCGAUGAAGGCCUUCGGGUCGUAAAGCUCUGUCCUCAAGGAAGAUAAUGACGGUACUUGAGGAGGAAGCCCCGGCUAACUACGUGCCAGCAGCCGCGGUAAUACGUAGGGGGCUAGCGUUAUCCGGAAUUACUGGGCGUAAAGGGUGCGUAGGUGGUUUCUUAAGUCAGAGGUGAAAGGCUACGGCUCAACCGUAGUAAGCCUUUGAAACUGGGAAACUUGAGUGCAGGAGAGGAGAGUGGAAUUCCUAGUGUAGCGGUGAAAUGCGUAGAUAUUAGGAGGAACACCAGUUGCGAAGGCGGCUCUCUGGACUGUAACUGACACUGAGGCACGAAAGCGUGGGGAGCAAACAGGAUUAGAUACCCUGGUAGUCCACGCCGUAAACGAUGAGUACUAGCUGUCGGAGGUUACCCCCUUCGGUGGCGCAGCUAACGCAUUUAAGUACUCCGCCUAGGAAGUACGCUCGCAAGA